UACAUGUGAUGACGUCAUAGUUUAUUAGAGAUCAGUUGUGGGGCCUGAAGUAAUAGUAGGUAUUGGCACAGAGAAGAGGUGAAGAUCCCUUCUCUGUGGUAUUGGUUGAAGCCGAUUUGAAUCGAUCUUGAAAAUAGCUUGCUAGGCAUUCCCUUGAAUUUUGUUUCUAUUGUGAGUGUCGAACAAUCUUCGAGUAGCCUAUUUUACAUUGUCUAUUUCUCAUUGUCACUUCCAAAAUCUCCUCUAAUACAGGGGAGAGGAGAUCAACCUGUAGUGUUCAUCCCACACAGCACAAAAAGUUUAAAAAAUUAAUAAAUGCUUAAAAUGUAUAAAUCCGAUAAACGUUAUGAAAACAAUGUUUAGUAAACGUUAGGGAAUUUUACUAAAAUGAACGUUUACUCUAUAAACGUCUAGAAUGUAUAUUGCUGAUAAACGUUAUGAAAACAACGUUUGAUAAACUUAGAAAUGUUUACUAAAAUAAACGUUAGAAAGGUUGGUACAGUAUGGAAUUUCUACAGUACCUAUCCAGUCAACACACUAAGUGAAAAUGUUAUAAGUGAAAAUCAAACAUUUUUUUCAUAAGGUGUCUCCUCCCCCUCACCUGUGUAACUAAAUCCCUAAAAAUGUCUCAAUUUAGGCUUUCUGACCAAUAGGCCUAAUUCCUAAGUGGAAUUGAAUUCCAAUCCCUUUCUAUCUUCUUCAAAAAUCGUCUCCAACUCACCGUUAUCGAGAUAAAGAAAAUGUUUUACACAAAUUAAGACUGAAAUUUUUUUGAGUUUUCAAAAAGUCUCACUUUAAGCUUUUUGUUAAUCAAUUCGGGUGCAGAAUUGCAAUUCAAAUACUUUUUGUCUUCUGCGAAAAUCGUCUAAAAUGCACUGUUAACGAUAUAAUUGACCUUUUGCGCUAAAUCCAGAGGGACUUUGAAUAAAUUUGCCAGAUGUUCAAGUUUCCCAAAAAAGUCGAAAAAUUGUAUUUCUAAUCAAUAGUUCGGAUGCAGAAUUGAAUUUCAAACACUUUUUGUCUCUUGCGAAAAUCGUCUACAACGUACUGUUGAUGAUAUAAUAGACCUUUUGCGCUAAUUGUAAUCCAGAUAGGGACUUGGAAAAAAUUUGAUCGAUUUCUAAGUUUCCCAAAAAUGUUCAUAAAAGCAGUCUUUUAUCACUUAUUCGGCUACAGAAGUAGAUUUCCAGCACUUCUUCUCAAUGCAAAAAUCCCCUCGGACGGGCCAUUGACGGGCUACUAACGUUUAAAAUUUUAAAUAAUUGGUAAUUGAUGAUGGAAAAUUUUGAAAAAAAUAAUUAACGAUUCUGUUCAUGUUAUAAACAUUGUCCUAGAAUUUCAAAUGUUUCCAUCCAAAAUUGAAAAAGUUAUAUCAUUUUUUCAAAUUAGAUUCCAGUUUGUGCUAAAAAUCAUGUCACACACCAAGCCUAUGAAAUAAUUUUCAAGUUUUAAAUUCAAAUAAUAAUAAACUAGGUACUAUUUUAUUGAUUCCAACAUUAUUUCAGUGAAAGCACAAAUGUCCCCCAUAAAGAAAUCAUUAAUCCGUUCCAGAAAUAUGGACUGUUUUAAUGUUAACAAUAAAGAUUGUCUAUAUCAAUAACUUUGAAAUUCCCGGGGUGAUUCAUGCUUGUGUGCUACUGCGCUUGAGCGACAGCCAUUAAAGAUGUCCUGUCUCCUUCAGUUUUCAGUUUUCAGUAGUUGAAGGUGAAGUUGGUUCGUUGUUUGCUUAUCCUCUAUUUUAUCGCGUCAUCAAGUUGAUGAUGAUUUUUGAUUGCUGAAGGUCUUAAAUUAAGACAAAGGUGGGAAUAGAACUGCAGAUACAUAUUAUACUAAAAUCCACCAUGACAGAUGAAUAUGAUGCCAAGGAUUAGAUUUGAAAAAAGUUCUUCUCUUCUCUACAUUUGAUGAAAGCCAUUUUCAGCAAAGGUGGGAAUAGAAGUGCAGACGCAUAUACCAAAAUCCACCAUGACAGACGAAUAUGCUGCCAACUACAGUUUUAGAUUUAAAACUUCUUUCUACAUCUGAUGGAAACCAUUUUCAGACCAAGAGCAGAGAGACUACGCCCCAUGAAGCUCAAAUCGAGGACGAUAGCAGUUCAAAGUAAAAAUAUAUAAUUAGUUAUAAAUUGAAAGUUCAAUUUUUGUAAUAUUUAAUAAAAAUCAUUGCAUUUUAUUGAAAAUAAUGCUUUCUUAUUUACAUUUUUCGCUCAUAUAGAUAUACUCUGAAGUUAAGCUUUAAAGAAAAUAAACUAAUAUAGAUAUUAAUAUAUAAUAUUUAAUAUUUUAAUAGAUAUUCAAAGUAAUAAUUGAUGUGUUACUCAGAUGUAUAUGAACUGUAUUCCAUUUGAGGUGUUGCAAGCAUAGAGGGCUGUUGAACUAGAGCAGAUUUGAUUUAAUUAAUUCAUCGAAUGGCGAGUGACUCAUGCACUGCUCCCUCUCAGGACAGUCUGCAAGCUGUUAUUGGUUAGCAGAGGUCGAUCUCGACUCAAUCAAUACAGCUACAGAGACAGUUUAUAGACUGCCCUGACA